rnacentral:rRNA from 1 species
GACGAACGCUGGCGGCGUGCUUAACACAUGCAAGUCGAACGGAAAGGCCCUGCUUUUGUGGGGUGCUCGAGUGGCGAACGGGUGAGUAACACGUGAGUAACCUGCCCUUGACUUUGGGAUAACUUCAGGAAACUAGGGCUAAUACCGGAUAGGAGCUCCUGCUGCAUGGUGGGGGUUGGAAAGUUUCGGCGGUUGGGGAUGGACUCGCGGCUUAUCAGCUUGUUGGUGGGGUAGUGGCUUACCAAGGCUUUGACGGGUAGCCGGCCUGAGAGGGUGACCGGCCACAUUGGGACUGAGAUACGGCCCAGACUCCUACGGGAGGCAGCAGUGGGGAAUAUUGCACAAUGGGCGGAAGCCUGAUGCAGCAACGCCGCGUGCGGGAUGACGGCCUUCGGGUUGUAAACCGCUUUCGCCUGUGACGAGGCGUGAGUGACGGUAAUGGGUAAAGAAGCACCGGCUAACUACGUG